AUGUAAGCUUUCUAAUUCUCUCCUACUAAUAAUCAUUUUCAGAUUUUUUUUUUUUUACCUCAAGAAAAUUUUCUGUGAACAUUUCAUUCACAAGGAUUUCUACGAUGGGUAAAAGGAUUAUGGGUUAUGCACAUCAAAUUUCUCUGAAUAAUAUUCAAGGUAAAUUCAACCGACGAAGAUUAAGCAAUUCUAGCGAGCCUAUCUACUCCUAAAUAUUGAAGGACGCACAGGAAAACAGAGGAAAAUUAAGCAUGUAUGCGCUUUGUAUUGUAUCAUGGAAAAUCUUAUUUUAAGUUGUUGUGGAUUACCAUUCAUCUUUGAAAAUGAAAAAAAUGUUGCAGACUUAUUUUGAUAUUGUUAUCGAUUUUGGGUUUUUUCAUAGGACACUUACUUGAAGGGGGAAAUACGUGAACCCUGUGGACAUUAUGCAAUCGGAGAAGAAUUGAAUGUUUUUUAUUGAGAAAUGUUAAUCCAUUAGCCUUCGCACGGUAAAUGGAAAUAGGAGGGCUAGGAUGGCACAUUGCUCAUUUUGUGUUAGUAAUUUUUACAAGUACCCCUUUUAAUAAACUUAUUUUGAAUUUAAUAUAGGAAAGUGUCUUAAAGUUAUGAUUAAA